rnacentral:misc_RNA from 1 species
UGAAGUAAAAGUCGUAACAAGGUCUCCGUUGGUGAACCAGCGGAGGGAUCAUUACCGAGUUUACAACUCCCAAACCCCUGUGAACUUAUACCUUUACUGUUGCUUCGGCGGGUCAUUGCCCCGGGGAAACAGGCGGCCGUCAGGUCCCUGCCCACCCGGAAACAGGCGCCCGCCGGGGGACUCAAACUCUUCUGUAUUUUUUUGUUUACCGUAUACUGUCUGAGUAAAAAUUCAUAAUGAAUCAAAACUUUCAACAACGGAUCUCUUGGUUCUG